rnacentral:lncRNA from 1 species
UGCCGGUCAAAAAGGAAGGGUUCAUGUUGUAUUUUUUGUGUGAAAGAAUGAUUCAUCUAUUUUCGUGGUGCCAAGUAUUGGCUCCUGCUUUGCAUAGAUUUUAAAACACUUAGAACAAGUUCAAUCAUUUGUUUAUAUAGAUCUUAAAACAAUCAUUAUACAAUCUAAUGGUAGAAUAUUCAUGCAAAGAAAAAUAAAUCAUUCUUUCGUGCAAAAGGUACAGCCUCUACCCCAACAAGAAGAAC